GAUGAACGCUAGCGACAGGCCUAACACAUGCAAGUCGAGGGGCAGCACAUGCGUAGCAAUACAAUGGUGGCGACCGGCGCACGGAUGAGUAACACGUAUGCAACCUACCUGUAAGUGGGGAAUAACCCGGAGAAAUCCGGACUAAUACCGCAUAAUACUUUUGAACUGCAUGGUUUAAAAGUUAAACAUUUAUGGCUUACAGAUGGGCAUGCGUAUGAUUAGUUAGUUGGUGAGGUAACGGCUCACCAAGACAUCGAUCAUUAGGGGUUCUGAGAGGAAGGUCCCCCANACUGGUACUGAGACACGGACCAGACUCCUACGGGAGCAGCAGUGAGGAAUAUUGGUCAAUGGGCGAGAGCCUGAACCAGCCAAGUCGCGUGAAGGAAGACGGUUCUAUGGAUUGUAAACUUCUUUUGUAAGGGAAUAAAAAGAGUACGUGUACUUUCUUGUAUGUACUUUACGAAUAAGAUCGGCUAACUCGUGCCAGCAGCCGCGGU
rnacentral:rRNA from 1 species